CCUACGGGAGGCAGCAGUGAGGAAUAUUGGUCAAUGGGAGAGAUCCUGAACCAGCCAAGCCGCGUGAGGGAAGACGGCCCUAUGGGUUGUAAACCUCUUUUGUCGGAGAACAAAACCCGGGACGUGUCCCGGACUGCGUGUAUCCGAAGAAAAAGCAUCGGCUAACUCCGUGCCAGCAGCCGCGGUAAUACGGAGGAUGCGAGCGUUAUCCGGAUUUAUUGGGUUUAAAGGGUGCGUAGGCGGUCAGGUAAGUUAGAGGUGAAAGCUCGAUGCUCAACAUCGAAACUGCCUCUGAUACUGUCUGACUAGAGUGUAGUUGCGGAAGGCGGAAGGUGUGGUGUAGCGGUGAAAUGCUUAGAUAUCACACAGAACACCGAUUGCGAAGGCAGCUUUCCAAGCUAUUACUGACGCUGAGGCACGAAAGCGUGGGGAGCGAACAGGAUUAGAUACCCUUGUAGUC
rnacentral:rRNA from 1 species